CCUACGGGAGGUAGCAGUGGGGAAUAUUGCACAAUGGGGGAAACCCUGAUGCAGCGACGCCGCGUGAGUGAAGAAGUAAUUCGUUAUGUAAAGCUCUAUCAGCAGGGAAGAAAAUGACGGUACCUGAGUAAGAAGCCCCGGCUAACUACGUGCCAGCAGCCGCGGUAAUACGUAGGGGGCAAGCGUUAUCCGGAUUUACUGGGUGUAAAGGGAGUGUAGGCGGAUAUGUAAGAUAGCGGUGAAAUGCCGGGGCUCAACCCCGGAACUGCCAUUAUGACUAUGUAUCUAGAGUAAUGGAGAGGAUAGCGGAAUACCCAGUGUAGAGGUGAAAUUCGUAGAUAUUGGGUAGAACACCGGUGGCGAAGGCGGUUAUCUGGCCAUUUACUGACGCUGAGGCUCGAAAGCAUGGGGAUCAAACAGGAUUAGAUACCCGAGUAGUC
rnacentral:rRNA from 1 species